GUUUUGUCCUUUUUAACACCAUUUCGUUUUUUUAUAUUAUACAUAACAUGAGCUAUGAGGACUCUAUUCAUACUGCCUUGUAUCCUUCUAAAAACUAUUAAAAAUGACAAAUGGUCAUUGUUUAGUGAGGCAAUUGAUACAUUUGUUAGUUGGGAAAUGUAUCGCUCAUCUCCUGUAUUUGUUACAAUGAUCAAAUUACACAUAUAUUGAAAUGUCAUCUCCUACAGACUUUUAAUGGUGCUAUUUCAGUGGCAUGGAUCAGUUUUAUUCAACAAUAAAUGACACUGUCAACC
rnacentral:sRNA from 1 species